rfam:Picea glauca, whole genome shotgun sequence.
ACAUGCCUACAUCAUAGCGUUAAUGCAUCGGAUCUCAUUAGAACUCUGCAGUUAAGUGCGCUCGGGCUAGAGUAGUAUUGGGAUGGGUGACCGCCUAGGAAGUACUAGUGUUUUACAUGCC